UCUCCACCAAAGUUGAUCAUGCUGGAUGACGAGGGUAAACAUAAAGAAAUCAUUAGAAUUGACAACUGGAAACGUGAACAUGUGUUGCAGUUCCUGCGCGAGAAGGUUAAGUCAGCUUCAUACUAACAGAGUGUUUUGGUUCUGUUAAUCUCUCCUUUGAGUUGUCUUUCAUUAAUUUUUACUCCAGUUUGAUAAUCAAAUCUGACACAAGUUACUCUCUUAUUUUCCUCUUUAUAUAU
rnacentral:misc_RNA from 1 species